GAUUGUACCUGUUUCGCCUGGAUCCAACAAAUAGGGUUGGCUGAACAUUUACAGCAGCUUGAAAGGUUGAGCCCUGAAAGCCUGCUGAGGCAUCCUGAACACAAUUUACCCUCUCUGCAACAGCUGGAAAGACUUGGCCACCAUUCAUUUAGAUUAGGUGUCCUAGAAGUUCCAGCCAAAAACAGAGUCCUUCUUCCAGUAAUUUAUGUUCCUGAGUGGAGGAAGCCCUGGACUCCAGUUUUCAAGUUAGUUUUCUAUUUCAAGUUUGUCCAAUCUAUUUUGCAGAUCCAUUUUUCUGUUUUUAAAUUAUUAUUAAAUAUUUUGGAUGACUUCUAUUUUGUAAUAGUUUGACAUUUGGUAACUUUCCUUUAAAUUUUCUUAAUAUUGUUUCUUUUGCGAUUCUAUAAUUGUUUUUUCUCAACGAAUUUUGUUAUUUUUCUCAUUCAGUGAAGUAUCUCUUUAAUAAUGUGACUGGCUGGCAUAGCUCUAACUUUGUUAGUUCAUCUAGAUUAAAUUAUCCUUUUUAUCAUAUUGCCAUAGACCAUUUUCAUGGAUAGAAAAUACUACUACAAUCGUCUCCUUUAUUUCUGUAAAGGGAGGUAUGCAGUUCCAUAUUUAUUAAACCUUUGUUCCUAUCUGUGGGAAUUUACUAUUCAGAAGAACCCCCAUGCUUUUGAUGUUGCAAUCAACCUCAUCUUCUAAUUAAAUUAAAAAUAAGGCCUGAGGCUUAAAUGUAUAAGGGGGAUGCCUAUGCAUUCUGGGAGGGCCAGAGGUUUUCUUGUGGGUCCCUGGGACCUGUGAGAAGCUUGCCUCUCAUCCCAGGUGACUCUGGGCAGCAGGAAGACCACAGCCUUGGAUCCAGACUGAGGUCAAGUCCAGCCAAUCAGAGAGAUUCAGCAAAGUGACUUCAUGAAAGAUGUUUCAGGCUGGGAGAAGGAAGGACUUUUUUUAGGCAGAAUCACAAGAGGAAAGCACCAUUGGGUGAGUGCUGGCAUAGCUAAAGCCUGGCUGAGAAGCUGGUGCUUCCAGAGGAGAGAGAGGACUUGCAAAGGGAACAGCUGACCAUGUAUGGCUGGUGCCUUUUCUUUGUCUGACCCA
rnacentral:lncRNA from 1 species